AGAGUUUGAUCAUGGCUCAGGAUGAACGCUGGCGGCGUGUUUAAGGCAUGCAAGUCGAACGAUUCUUUACGAAUAGUGGCAAACGGGAGAGUAACACAUUGGUAACGUACCUCGAAGUCGUGAAUAACCCAUUGAAAAGUGGACUAAUACACGAUAAAGAUGGGGGGUCAUAGGACAUUCCCAUUUAAAGUUCCGACGCUUCGAGAACGGCCUAUGUCCUAUCAGUUAGUUGGUGAGGUAAAAGCUCACCAAGACUUCAACGGGUAGCGGGUGUGAGAGCAUGACCCGUCUCACUGGGACUGAGACACGGCCCAGACUCCUACGGGAGGCUGCAGUCAAGAAUCUUCCGCAAUGCCCGAAAGGGUGACGGAGCGACGCCGCGUGAUUGAUGAAGCCCUUCGGGGUGUAAAGAUCUUUUCUUUGGGAAGAACAAAUGACAGUACCUUAGGAAUAAGGGGUUGCUAACUCUGUGCCAGCAGCAGCGGUAAUACAGAGACCCCGAGCGUUAUCCGGAUUUAUUGGGCGUAAAGCGUGCGCAGGCUGUUUUUCAAGUUAAAAGUUAAAUACCGAGGCUUAACCUCGGAACUGCUUUUAAAACUGAUAAACUAGAGUCUGGAAGAGGCAAGUGGAAUUGCCGGUGUAGGGGUAAAAUCCGUUAAUAUCGGCAGGAACACCAAAUGCGAAGGCAACUUGCUAGGACAGUACUGACGCUGUUGCACGAAAGCGUGGGGAGCGAAGAGGAUUAGAUACCCUCGUAGUCCACGCCGUAAACGAUGGGCACUAGACAUUGGAAGUAUCGACCCUUUCAGUGUCGUUUUACUAAAGCUAACGCGUUAAGUGCCCCGCCUGGGGAGUACGGCCGCAAGGCUAAAACUCAAAGGAAUUGACGGGA
rnacentral:rRNA from 1 species